rnacentral:rRNA from 1 species
GACGAACCGUGCGAACGUUGUUCGGAAUCACUGGGCUUAAAGGGCGCGUAGGCGGGCUUACAAGUCCGGGGUGAAAGCCCCCAGCUCAACUGGGGAAGUGCCUUGGAUACUGUAAGCCUCGAGGGGGGUAGGGGCGUGCGGAACUUCCGGUGGAGCGGUGAAAUGCGUAGAUAUCGGAAGGAACACCGGUGGCGAAAGCGGCGCGCUGGACCCCUUCUGACGCUGAGGCGCGAAAGCCAGGGGAGCAAACGGG